GACGAACGCUGGCGGCGUGCUUAACACAUGCAAGUCGAACGAAGUGGCGAACGGGUGAGUAACGCGUAAUCAACCUGCCCUUCUGAGGGGGACAACAGUUGGAAACGACUGCUAAUACCGCAUACGGAAGCAGGGGAUUGCGUCGGAUUAGCUAGUUGGGGGGGUAACGGCCCACUAAGGCGAAGAUCAGUAGCCGGUCUGAGAGGGUGAACGGCCACAGUGGGACUGAGACACGGCCCAGACUCCUACGGGGGGCAGCAGUGGGGAAUCUUCCGCAAUGGACGAAAGUCUGACGGAGCAACGCCGCGUGGGUGAUGACGGCCUUCGGGUUUUAAAGCUCUGUUAAUCGGGACGCGGUACCGGAAUAGAAAGCCACGGCUAACUACGUGCCAGCAGCCGCGGUAAUAC
rnacentral:rRNA from 1 species